CAUAGUUGGUUUUGGUCUUUUCAUGGAAUCUGUUGACAAUAAGAAAAAUAUAGAAUAUCACCAGCCUUAUCCUUCAAUGAUCCGGAUCUGUGGAAUUUGUUUUUGGCACAGCUAAAUGGCUACAUUCCUAGUGUCAGAAACGUCAUAUGUAGACAAUCGUCAGUGUAGUUUGUUUGUGUAUUUGGCUUUGUAUUAAGUCGAACAAAAGUCAGUUUGCUUCCUCUACUGGACAAGUCUUCUCUAUCUUAGCUCUGUAAGUCAGUCACCACAUUGAUAGACCCAGGACUAACAAAGUUAGCAAAAUCUACAACUGAUCCAAAUUACUGCGAAGGACACAUUUCUUCAAAAAGCUGUUUCUAUAUAAUAUAGUAUAUUGUGGUAAAUACAUUCAGAGGUUUUAAUAAAAGAUGUACACGUGGCAGACAUACGUCAGCCCAUAGAUUAACUUUUAGGCACUGAGGCACGCAUACACACGCACACACCAUAAAUACAUCCAUGAUGUCUGACAUCUUAAAUCCCAGAUGGCUUUCUUCCAUCCAGGAAAUAACAUCAUUGACGAAAGCAGGUCUGAGCGCCUUAACUCUGACAUUUUGGAGAGACCCUUAUUCACCACAACACCAUAAAUCAUACGGUAUAUAUUACACUCAGUUCAGUCUGUGAACUUUUCCAUGAACCCUAAAGCUUAUUCAUCCAUCCCUUGUUUGUAGCACAUCUACCCCCAAACUCCCUGAUGCAUGAAAGCUGGCCGUCCAGCCAGAUAACGAGGGAGCUUCUUCCACCGAAGCCCCUGCUCGCUCUCCAAAACCAAUACAGAAGGCCGCCUGAGGACCAGGCCCCUGGUCUGUGAGUUGAAUCUCUGGCCACCAUCUCUCUUCCAUUUAAUCUCACUGGAGCAAUGAUCACAAACAUCUGUAAGUGGGAUGCGGAGCCUCUCUAUCUGCUGUUCAGGAGAGCUAUCAGCAGAAAAACAGUGCCUGACUCGUCCAUCAGCGGGGAAAACGCUGUGAACAGCUGGAUGUCCAGCCGAGCGAGCACUGGAAUGUAGAUUACGCCUGAGUGUGACUCAGAAAAGAGAAAAUCUCUGUUUUUGGCUGUAGUCGAUGACCAGACUAACACAGAAAUCAAGCGAACCUUAUCUGAAGCAUGUUUCAAGACAAUGAAUACAAUAAUGAUGAAAAAACAUGAAGUGUUUGUCAUCCAGCCUAAAAUCAAUAAUCAAUAGUAAAUAGAAUACACUCAGUAUUCUUUUAUUCAUAUUCAUGACCAUCAAGCUGUGGAAGUGAUUCCACCAACAGUUGAUAUCGUGAUCAAAUACAAUGCCAGUCAGCCAGUAUUUUAGCAUUCAUUUUUGUAUUGAAUGUCAAGUAAAGUAAUAGUCAAUACAUUAUGAAUACGACAAAACUAAAACAAGAUAAAAUAAUAAUUGUGACUUUAUUGGAAAAGACUAAUAGCUUGGACUUGGUCCAAUUAACAGCUCCUUAACAGGCGUAGCCAGGUUUGAAGGUAUGAAGAAUUAGAAGAACGAAACACUAAUAUCUGUAUGAAACAUUUUUACAGAGAAAGAUAAACCUUUAUCUUUGAACUCUGUAGCUGAUAAAGUUUGAUACAAGGACUUCAGUCCAGCUGCAAGUUAAAAACACCAUGGUUCAGUUCACUUGAAUACACUUUGCGCCUCAGUGUCCUCCUUUGUAGCUACAUGACUGCAGCCCACAACUCCAAUAAUUACUGAGAUUCAAAUAGGUCUAUUGUUGUGCUCACUGAUGGCUGUUUUCCCAGUUGUAAAAACAACUGAGCAUAUCACGGCUUUGUUUGUGGGAUUAAGAAUGGGGACGUCAUCUUCCUGUGCCAGAACCACAAAAAUGGCGGCAAGCAUGGAUGAGAUCGACACAGCUGUACAGGCUGCGCUGGUUGAGAAGAGAAACCCCUAAAGGCCGCAGCAAUCAGGCAGGAUGUUGUAACAGAUACUCGACAUAAGCUGCACUGACAAUGCCCUCGGGACUCCUGGCAGGGCAAGGCAGGUCCAGGCAGCCCGUUUCCAUGGCCGUGUAAAAGCUUUGAUUCAACACCGUGAUAAAUGCCUCAAUUAACAUACCAGUCCAUUAAGGCAUUGACAUUUUUACUUCAUUCGGACGUUCAUGGUUUACAAAAAGCCUUGCUUGCGGGCAGCGAUCUUUUGGAAACAUGGUCCCGCUUGUGAAUUUGACAGAACACCUGCAUUAAAAGUUCCCUGGU